CUGCAGCUCAAGUGGUGAUCAUUAUUAUUGGGCCUAAAACGUCCGUAGCCUGUUUAGUAAAUGCCUGGGUAAAUCGUGUAGCUUAACUAUACGAAUUCCGGGUAGACUGCUAAACUUGAGACCGGGAGAGGCUAGAGGUACUCCUGGGGUAGAGGUGAAAUUCUGUAAUCCUAGGGGGACCACCAGUGGCGAAGGCGUCUAGCAAGAACGGGUCUGACGGUGAGGGACGAAGCCCUGGGGCACAAACCGGAUUAGAUACCCGAGUAGUCC
rnacentral:rRNA from 1 species